ACAAGGGAGGUUUCACACACUAUGAGAGAGAUUUUCCAAAAGUCCCUAAGAUAUUUAGAUGCACAUACCCCACUGAAAGUGAAUAGGACUUCUACUCCUAAAUCUCUUAGGUGCUUUUGAAAAUCUCCUUCUCCAUAUACUUUAAUUCAAUGUUUAACAUCAAAUUUCAGGAUGCCAGAUGAGGGAAAUACCCCAGAUUUUCCAGAAGAGAUCAGAAUAGCUGUGACUCACAGGUGGAGAAGGGUUGGAAGAUAAGCUAUGUGAAACCUGAUCUUGAGCAAAGUUGUGAAGACAGAAUGAAGAGAAGAGACGGGUGGGGUUAGGAACAAGAAAAGGAAAGGGCAACUGCAUGGCUCAAGGGAUUUUUGAAUAGUCUAUAGAACCUUUCACCUCUAGGUGGUUGGUAAUGAUUGAAAGUUACCAGAUGAGGAUUGUUUUGGUGGCAUGUUUGAAAUGAAUGUUGGCGUCAGUCCAGUUCUCGGUCAGUACAAAUCACAGAAACCAGGCCCGUUGUCCUACUGGCUGCACAGACUUAGCAGAAAGGCUAGAGACUUAAUAGAUGUGGCAAAUGGAUCACUUAUUCACAUCUAGACACAGAGCUUCUAGUUCAAGGGAUAGGUAUGUUGGUAGGAAGGUAUGGAGAAACUUGAACUGUUGUUGCAUGUACUUUAUCUUUUCUAAGAAUAAAAUGAGCUCCGUAUCAAACUAGCACCUUAUGUGAGCGCUAAAGUCAUGUGUAUGCACAACAUGGAACAGCCAUGCAAAACAGAUAGAUGAACUCUGAACUAUUCCAUGGGCCAUCCACUGCUUUACAGGCAGUUAAAUUAUUUCAAUAGGAUGGGAGGGAGUCCUAAUGAGCAAACUCAUCCUGCCUAAUUUCAAACUCAUGUGUAUAUUGUGAAUUUGAAAGUUCAGCUCAGUCUUGAGUGUUUGGUUCAUAUUUCACUUAGGAGAGGCUGACAAAAAUAGCAUAGAUUAGAGUGUGGGGUUGGGAGAGGCAAUAUAUGUCAGCCACUCACGUGUGCUGGCUUAGCUUUUUGGUUGUUCUUCUAUCCUUAAUACAUAGUACAGACUUUCUGUUAGCUAGGAAGAUUUUUUUUUUAAAUGGAACCUCUUCUGAAAAAAGUGCUUGAAAAACAAACCAACCCCCUCCUCCUCCUGAACUUAACAUAGUUUUCUGAAUGCAAAAAUAGUUUGAUGGGUUUCUGUGAAAGUGACUUCCCCAAAAUAUGCCAGCCCCUAGUCCCAACACACUUAUAUUGUUAGGAAUAUUCUUUUUUCUAUUAAAGUCAUUUCCGCAAAUUUGUUAGUCUCUAAGGUACCACAAAUACUCCUUUACUUUUGGGGAAUACAGAACAUGGCUACUACUCUGAAAAUAAAACUAGUUUCCAAUACGGAUUAUUUUAAUGGGGAAAAAUAUUGCUGUCUUUUCUAUGGCGUUGGUUAUAGAGAUGACCAAAAGGUGGCAGCAGUCUCUCCAUUGUCAUUGUCCUAACUGUUUAUAUCCACUUUUGUACAUGUACGUGUUAAAAAAAAAGCGAUAAAAUGAAGAACAUAUCAUUAGCAACAAUUAUUUUUUUAAAAGGAAAUAGAUAAAAUGGAGAACAUAUUGUUAGUCACACUAAAUUGUAUUCCACUUAACAUAACACUAGGACUAUCGUGGUGUUUUUAAUUAGCUGUGCUAUGAAUUGUGCAAAUGAAAAGACAAGAAUCAUGUUGCAGAUUCUAUCUGUGUUAUGCACAGAAUCUACACACACACAUGUAAUCAUUAGCUGAAUGAGUGAAUGUCUGGCAGUAUAAAAUAGAAUAUUUUUCCCCCAUAUGUAAGAUGGGUUGCUUAUUAUAGAAGUUUAAAUCAGCUACCUUAACCCAGAAUUUUACUUUGGACAGAUAAACACUGUAGCUUCUGUUAACCAGAGACAGAGAGAUGAGUCUGUGGAAUUUUUCAUUGGCUGUCUGCCAUUCUCUGGAGAGCUGUUGAUUAAUAACUUGAAGGGAAAAAACAAACUAUUUUAUAGUGAUGGUUCAUCUUCAGUUAUUUUCUAAUGAUUUUUUGUGUGAGAAUGACACAUUUGAGAAAAUGUUCUACAUUUUGAAUGUCCAGAUCACUUUAGAGGAUGGCCUUUUUAAUAACUGUUGUUCCUACAUAUCACUUUUAUGACCACUGUAAAAUCAACUGAAAUACAACUUAUUUAUGUAGUAUAGGGUUUAUUUGAUGCUAUAUCUUUAUCUGUACAUUUUCCCUUUCAGGGAAAACCUUUGUGUUUCUGUCUGAAUGCUGAGGCUCUGUUCCUUUCUCCUCCAUAUUAGCCCUCUUCUUCCCCUCCAUUCUUGAGACCCUCUAUAUUAUGAACACCAUCUUUUUUGAGGAAGAAGCUUAGACAUGAUUCUAUUCAACCCCCCCCCCCCAUCACCAGUUCUUAAUUUUCCAUUGGCAUUGUAUAAUACAGUAAAUCUACUGCAGAGUGUAUGUAACUCCAUCUUAGUUAACUCCACAGUUUGCUCCACUGUUUAACUUGCCACUCAGAUGGACUGUGCUAGUGCUAAGAGAAGUUUGUUAGCAAGUUGGAAAGUAACUGUUCUUGUAGGUUCCUAAUAAAAAGUCUUCACGGGUCUCUUGUUUUCUAAGAGUUAUGAGAAAGGGAUUAUACUUGCUGUUGAAAACCAUAGGACAUUCGUCAGCAGCGAGAAGCAAGCUGUCCCACCUGGACUGAAUGACUUAUUUUCCACUGUGGUUUGAGCCCCAAUUGACUUGGAGAGGGAGACGAUAAUGAAUGAACCUGGGUAUCCUAAAUGGCCGUGCAGAGCACUACUGCUGAGCUGUCAGGUUGCUCACUUAUAAAGUACAUAUAUUAUUUAUUAAUUUAGGUUACAUCAAUGUAUUAUAAACUACUUCUCACACAUCUGAUCUACAGACAUCGUAGCAUAGGUCAGUGGUUCUCAGGUCCGGGGCCUGCUGGGGGGGCCGUGAGUAGGUUUCAGGGGGCCACCAAGCAGGGCCAGCAUUAGACUCACUGGGGCACAUGGCAGAAGAAAGCUGAAGCCCAACUGCAUGGGGCUGAAGCCCAGGGCCAUGAGCCCCGCCACCCAGGGCUGAAGCCGAAGCCUGAGCAAUGUAGCUUCGCAGGGGCCCCCGUGGCAUGGUGCCUCCGGCAAUUACCCUGCUUGCUACCUCCUAAUGCUGGCCUUGGCUUUUACGUGCAAAAAAACCCAGUUGUUGUGACACGGGUGGGCAGUGGAGUUUUUAUAGCAUGGUUGGGAAAAGAAAGAAAAAGUUUGAGAACCUCUGGCAUAGAUCACUUCUAGAAGUCACUCUCUUAUGGCUUUCCUCCUCCCGCUGCCUUAAUUGAAAGAUAGUGUUUGGAGGUGAUGACAAAAGGCAUCUAUCUGACUAGUACUAGAUAUGCUUGCACAGCUCUGUGUAUGCUCCCAUAAUGUACAAAGCAGCAAUUGUGUGUCAGCGCCAAAAUGAAGUUUACGAUGUUUUUGAAGACUGUUGGUGCCUGUCAAUGUUAAUCUAGAAAUGGCAAUUGCAGUACAGCAUGUUGAGAAGUUAGUUUAUAGAUCUGGUGGAGCUUGCCAAGAGGACUAUAUCCCAGAAGUGGUGAUAUCCUAGAGGAGAGGAAUCAAAAGCGAGGGAGGGUUUUUUGAUUGAUUAAAGAGCUACAAUAUUGCAUUAUGUUGUCACUAGGAAAGUGGCCAUGGAACUGCUGCCUAAUGCUACCAGUAAGCCAUCAGGGAAGUAUAUCUUUAUUAAAAUACAAAUACAUAUGUAAUAGUUAAUCCAGUGACACAUGUCUACACAGAUUUGCUAAAUCUCACUAUUCUCAAAGUGAUUUCUUCAGGAUGAAUUUUAAAAGGAUUUUAAAAAUCUCAUUUAAUGAUGAAUUUUCAAUGUGUUUCAAUGAAACAUUUAUCCCUAAUUUAUUUUUUUAACCUCAAGCUUUUUUCCAAAUUAUUACAGCUCUAUUUGUCACUUUUGUAUUAAGUAAGUGAGAAACCAAGAAAUGGGUUGGAAUCCUCAAUCUGAGCAUGUACAGUAUUUGUCUAGGUCCAUAUGUGGCCUCAACAUCAGAAUAUAUGAACAUCUGAUGAUAAUGAAUGGACCCUGUGAGGUUAGAGAAGUAUUAUCCUCAUUUCACAGAAGAGGAACUGAGGUGCAGGGUAGAUUGUCACUUAUAUAAGAUCAUUUAGGGAGUCUGUAGCUGAGUCUGGAAUUGAACGUAGGUGUCCUGAGUCUAAGUCCAGUGCCCAAUAGACCAUCCUUACUCCCUGUACAAUAUUGCCAAGAAGGAUCAGUUUUUGAAAAGAACUCCAAAUAUGCAUGCGCAAAAUUUGCAUGCAAGCAUUUGGACUAGGGUGACCAGACAGCAAAUGUGAAAAAUCGGGAUAGGGGUAAGGGAUAAUAGGAACCUAUAUAAGAAAAAGACCCAAAAAUUGGGACUGUCCCUAUAAAAUGGGGACAUCUGGUCACCCUAAUUUGGACAUUUCCACUUGCAAGUUAUGUGAAUAAGAAAAGAUUUACCUGCAAACAGGUACUGGUAUACAGAUGGUCCAAGCUGUGCAUGCAGGUGAAGAACUAUUUGCAUGCAAACAAGUGUAUGGACAAAAAUAUUUAGUGCAUUUUUAAAGUCUAUUUAGAAUUUGUUUCUGAAUUUAAUCUUUUGAAAGGAAUGUGCCAGGUGCUGCAUAGUAGAACUGGUGUGGAGACUCAAUAGGCCCAUGUUACCCUUUACUUACUCUGUAGAAACAUCUGUAGUAUCAGAUGGCACUAUUUCAUGCUGAAAUGCAACUUGUUUCAAGAGCCAUUUGUUCCUGCAAUUGUUCAUCUUGUCCAUACUUAACCCUGACUUUUGUAGAAUGGUUCAGUGUGACCACACCUAAUAGUCCGUUGUAACUCUUUCAAGCGUGCUGAAUGUUCUUCUGAAAUAAGUAAGUUAUUGCAGUACCUUAACAGCCUAUUUGCAAAUAUUCUGCUAUUCAGAUCCUAUUAAAACUCCAGAUUUCUUGCAAGAAUUGUUUCCAUUGUUGGGCUGUCCUUUGUGUGAUCUGUGCAUCCCUAACUCUGCUGUCCCACCAUCGUUUGUGCAGAAAUGAGAGAAGGAGAAACACUGGUGCUCCCCUGGACUAAGUGUGGGCCUUUAUUUUGAUGAACACUCUCCCACUGGGUGCUGGGGGAGGCAAGUCACUUGCUUCUAAUUGUUUUGGAAUGUUUUAAACUCUCCACCCUCCCACCCCACCCCUGUUUUGUAGUUGAACAGUUUCAUUCUCUCUCUCAUAUCUUCCUCCCUAGGAUCCAGUGACAGAUGUUGGCAAGGUUGUUGUCUGGAAGGGACGGGUGUAUGAAGGAGAGGUGCUCUGGUUCAACUAAAUUUCCCCCCUACCUGCUGCUGCAUGACAUUUAGUUGCCUGCCCUGGAAAUGAUCUGGGGGAUGGCUGAUUGCAGGUGUAUCCACUGCUGUUAUCCUACGCUAAACUCUGUCUGACUGAUCUAUCUUGCGUUCAUCAUCAUGGCAUCUGACUACAUUUGCCAUGGGUUAUGUUGGGAAGUGGAUAGGCAAAUGAGGCUGUUUGGAGAGUGCCAGGGAGUAGUGAGUAUAUUUGAACUAGAAUGUGAGUAAGAGUGCAUUGUGUGUGUGUGUUUGUAAUUUGGAUGUCACUUAAGGCCAAAUUUUGCAGCCCCUAAUGAAGUAAAACUUCCUAUUUACUUCAGUCAGAGCGAUGAUUGAUUAAAGGCUGCAGAAUCUGGUGCAACAUUCCUUCUUGUUGUUUUCCUUGCAGAUAUCCACCAUGUAGGAGCUGCUGCUAAAGAAGUUCUUUGAGGAAUCUGUCAGCCCUGGCUCCCCGAGAAGAUAAAGGAGACGUUUCUACUGGGAGGAAGGGUUGGCCUUACAAUUUAGGUGCUGCUCUGGGACUCAGGAGCUCUGUGUUCAAUAUUGGCUUUGCCACAGGCUUCCAUGUGACUGGCCAAGUCACUAAAUCUUUUUGUGCCUCAGUUCUUCAUCUGUAAAAUGGCAAUAAUAGUACUGCCCAACCUCCAAAGAGGUGUUAUAAGGUUAAAUCCAUAAAUACUUGGUAGGUGUUCAUAUACUACAGUGAUGAGAACCAUACAAAUACCUAGAUAGAUAAAAUGUUGUUUUAAUUAGUUCUAACUCGGUUUGAUUUUAUUAAAAUAUAUUUAAAUAGUU